GAGGCGGACCGGCGCAUCGCCGCGCUGCGGCCCCGAGGGGCGGGCGGCGCGGAGGAAAGUCCGGGCUCCGUCAGGGCAUGGCGCCGGGUAACCCCCGGGCCGCGGCGUUUCGGCGUGCGCGGACAGAGAGUGCCACAGAAAACAUACUGCCGGCCGCGGCGCUGACGCGGCGUGUGCCGGUGAGGGUGAAAAGGUGGGGUAAGAGCCCACCGCGCCUCUGGUGACAGCGGCGGCACGGUAAACCUCGCCAGGAGCAAGGCCAAGCAGCAGGUGGACGGCCCGUCCAGGAGUUUACGCUCCAACCUGCGGGUAGGCUGCACGAGCCGCCCGGAAACGGACGGCCCAGAUAGAUGAUGCGCACCUGAAGGCGCCUCUCGGUACCCGCAAGGUGCAGAAUGCCAAAGGCAUUCUGCUAAACCGUGGGCGCCAAAGGCGCCCACGGUACUGGACCCGGCUUACAGGUCCGCCUCUUUU
rnacentral:RNase_P_RNA from 1 species